rnacentral:rRNA from 1 species
GUCCACGCCCUAAACGAUGUCAACUGGUUGUCGGGGAAGUUAUUCCUUGGUAACGAAGCUAACGCGUGAAGUUGACCGCCUGGGGAGUACGGCCGCAAGGUUAAAACUCAAAGGAAUUGACGGGGACCCGCACAAGCGGUUGAUUAUGUGGAUUAAUUCGAUGCAACGCGAAAACCUUACCUACCCUUGACAUGCUAGGAAGCUCGCAGAGAUGUGAGUGUGCCCGAAAGGGAACCUAGACACAGGUGCUGCAUGGCUGUCGU